rnacentral:rRNA from 1 species
UACGUAGGGUGCGAGCGUUAAUUGGAAUUACUGGGCGUAAAGCGUGCGCAGGCGGUUCGUUGUGUCGGUGGUGAAAUCCCCGGGCUUAACCUGGGAAUGGCCAUGGAAACUGGCGAACUGGAGUGCGGCAGAGGGGGGUGGAAUUCCGCGUGUAGCAGUGAAAUGCGUAGAGAUGCGGAGGAACACCGAUGGCGAAGGCAGCCCCCUGGGCUAGCACUGACGCUCAGGCACGAAAGCGUGGGGAGCAAACAGG